rnacentral:rRNA from 1 species
AGUGAACGCUGGCGGUAGGCCUAACACAUGCAAGUCGAACGGCAGCACAGUAAGAGCUUGCUCUUACGGGUGGCGAGUGGCGGACGGGUGAGGAAUACAUCGGAAUCUACUUUUUCGUGGGGGAUAACGUAGGGAAACUUACGCUAAUACCGCAUACGACCUACGGGUGAAAGCAGGGGAUCUUCGGACCUUGCGCGAUUGAAUGAGCCGAUGUCGGAUUAGCUAGUUGGCGGGGUAAAGGCCCACCAAGGCGACGAUCCGUAGCUGGUGUGAGAGGAUGAUCAGCCACACUGGAAGUGAGACACGGUCCAGACUCCUACGGGAGGCAGCAGUGGGGAAUAGUGGACAAUGGGCGCAAGCCUGAUCCAGCCAUACCGAGUGGGUGAAGAAGGCCUUCGGGUUGUAAAGCCCUUUUGUUGGGAAAGAAAAGCAGCAGGUUAAUACCCCGCUGUUCUGACGGUACCCAAAGAAUAAGCACCGGCUAACUUCGUG